rnacentral:rRNA from 1 species
AAUAUUGGACAAUGGGGGCAACCCUGAUCCAGCCAUGCCUCGUGUGUGAAGAAGGUCUNUUGGUUNUNAAGCACUUUAAGCAGUCNAGAAGACUCCAUGGUUAAUACCCAUUGACGAUGACAUUAGCUGCAGAAUAAGCACCGGCUAACUCUGUCACAGCAGCCGCGGUAAUACAGAGGGUUCAAGCGUUAAACGGAAUUACUGGGCGUAAAGCGAGCGUAGGUGGCUUGAUAAGUCAGAUGUGAAAGCCCCGGGAUUAAACUGGGAACGGCAUCUUAUAAUGUUAGGCUAGAGUAGGUGAGAGGAAGGUAGAAUUCCAGGUGUAGCGGUGAAAUGCGUAGAGAUCUGGAGGAAGACCGAUGGCGAAGGCAGCCUUCUGGCAUCAUACUGACACUGAGGUUCGAAAGCGUGGGUAGCAAAC